GUUGAAGAGUCAGCCAGUGAGCCGGCUGAAGAGAAUAUGAUGGUUGUGAGGGAAGAGACACAGUCCGAAGUGCUUGCAAUAGUUCCGAUUCAAGUUUGUCUACCAUUGUCCCAAACAACCACUAUGCUGAAAAUUGAAGAAACACCUGAGACAGAAAAUGAACCAACCUCUGUGCUACAAAUUGAAGGAACUACAAAAGCACUCCUGAACCCCUCCCCCCAACAACUUGAAGAAAGCACACCCACGCUU